GACGAACGCUGGCGGCGUGCCUAACACAUGCAAGUCGAGCGAUGGAAGUUCCUUCUGGCACGGAUUUAGCGGCGGACGGGUGAGUAACACAUGCGCAAGUUGCCUCAUAGAGGGGAAUAGCCUUCCGAUAGGGAGAUUAGUACCUCAUACGAUAGUAGUAUCGCAUGAUACUGAAACUAAAGCAGCAAUCCGCUAUGUGAUGGGCGCGCGGCGCGUUAUAUAGUUGGUGAGGUAACGGCUCACGAAGGCCACGAUGCGUAGCCGACCCGGGACGUCGAUCGGGAACCUUGCGACAGAGACCCGGACCAGACUCUUACGAGAGGACGGAGUGGUGAAUAUUGCACAAUGGGGGAAACAAUGAUGCAGCCACGUCGUAAGAGUGUUGACUGACUUCGGGUUGUAUAGCUCUGUUUACAGGGCAGACAAUGACGGUACCUUAGGAGAAAGCCACGGCUAACUACGUG
rnacentral:rRNA from 1 species